GAGUGCGAUCAUACCAGCACUAACGCACCGGAUCCCAUCAGAACUCCGCAGUUAAGCGUGCUUGGGCGAGAGUAGUACUAGGAUGGGUGACCCCCUGGGAAGUCCUCGUGUUGCACCCC
rnacentral:rRNA from 1 species